ACGGAAGGCAGCAGUGGGGAAUAUUGGACAAUGGGGGGAACCCUGAUCCAGCGACGCCGCGUGAGUGAAGAAGUAUUUCGGUAUGUAAAGCUCUAUCAGCAGGGAAGAUGAUGACGGUACCUGACUAAGAAGCACCGGCUAAAUACGUGCCAGCAGCCGCGGUAAUACGUAUGGUGCAAGCGUUAUCCGGAUUUACUGGGUGUAAAGGGAGCGUAGGCGGCUAUGCAAGUCAGGUGUGAAAACCCGGGGCUCAACUCCGGGACUGCACUUGAAACUGCGAAGCUCGAGUACUGGAGAGGCAAGUGGAAUUCCUAGUGUAGCGGUGAAAUGCGUAGAUAUUAGGAAGAACACCAGUGGCGAAGGCGACUUGCUGGACCGCAACUGACGCUGAGGCUCGAAAGCGUGGGGAGCAAACAGGAUUAGAUACCCUGGUA
rnacentral:rRNA from 1 species